rnacentral:rRNA from 1 species
AUUGAACGCUGGCGGCAUGCCUUACACAUGCAAGUCGAACGGUAACAGGUCUUCGGAUGCUGACGUGUGGCGAACGGGUGAGUAAUACAUCGGAACGUGCCUAGUAGUGGGGGAUAACUACUCGAAAGAGUGGCUAAUACCGCAUGAGAUCUACGGAUGAAAGCAGGGGAUCGCAGGACCUUGUGCUACUAGAGCGGCCGAUGGCAGAUUAGGUAGUUGGUGGGAUAAAAGCUUACCAAGCCGACGAUCUGUAGCUGGUCUGAGAGGACGAUCAGCCACACUGGGACUGAGACACGGCCCAGACUCCUACGGGAGGCAGCAGUGGGGAAUUUUGGACAAUGGGCGCAAGCCUGAUCCAGCAAUGCCGCGUGCAGGAUGAAGGCCUUCGGGUUGUAAACUGCUUUUGUACGGAACGAAAAGCCCUGGGUUAAUACCCUGGGGUCAUGACGGUACCAUAAGAAUAAGCACCGGCUAACUACGUGCCAGCCGCCGCCGUAA